GACACGCUGGAUAGUCUCUAGUCUUCAGUUUGGCUUUAAUACAGCGAUGAAGCACUAAGAUUACUCGAGGAGGAACCAAAAAAACCAUCAAGCAUGCUUACAUUGGAGCACCGGAAGACUCAUGGUUUCAACAGUGCAGGGAGAUUUCUCACCACUUACAAGAAGGACUAUGGACCCGUCAGGGAGCGCUACCCACAUCUGAACUCCAGAGAUGAGCCUCCUCCUUCUUCUGCCUUCAUGUCUUCAUUUGGCAUCCUCACACCUUCCGUUUCCGUGGCAAAUCAGGGCGUUGGCUCCGCCCUGGCGGUACACUGGAUGCAGGAGUUGCCAGGGGGACAGAGCUCUUCCUUGGUCAAGAGGAUGAAAGUCAGCAGUGCGGUGUUUGUGAUGGAUGUGGUGGAAAAGCAAACAUGUUGCAGCAGCAGGAGGCAAACGUUACCAAGACUGAGAUUGUCUACAAGGGAGGUGUGGUUGUGCUGUCUUCCACCGAUGGUCCGUCCAGCUGUAAUGAUUUUCUAAGAAAUCUACUGAGAGAAAGUGGACUGCAGCACCUGCUCAGCCCUCCUCAAGGCUGGUCUGCUGUUGACACAAACAAAGAUGACCAGCACUGGGAUAAGAGUGCCUUCUUGUGGGGUUUGAGCGCCUCCUCCCUCCAGAACUCUUUAGGUCAGGGCAGCCGCUGUGCAAGGGGACCUGAGUGCUUUGAGCUGAAAACCAUCUGUCAGAGCAGCGCCCUGCCUCAGGCCCACGUACAGCCAGCAACUUACUGCACAGAGACUAGGAGGAAGCUGCCGCAAACAAGAGUACCAGUUCAACUAUGGCCCUAAGAUACAGAGUGGCCAAAGGAAGCUCUGUACUCAGCAGGAUGCCUUCUCUGAUCGCUCACCUUGUCACUGGUCUACAGUCUGAAUCUUGACUCAAUACAGAUCAUUCAGAAAAAAAUGUAUUUUUUGUAUUUUGAUUUAGACUUAAAGUGCAGCAUGUUAGUAUGAAAUGUUGUAGAGCUGCUUUGUCCAAACACCUCCGCAGAAAAGGGAGAUAGCGGUCAUGGCUUUUGUGCGUGAGUCUCGGUUAU